GCGAACGCUGGCGGCGUGGAUAAGGCAUGCAAGUCGAACGAGACCUUCGGGUCUAGUGGCGCACGGGUGCGUAACGCGUGGGAAUCUGCCCCUCGGUUCGGAAUAACAGUUAGAAAUGACUGCUAAUACCGGAUAAUGACGUAAGUCCAAAGAUUUAUCGCCGAGGGAUGAGCCCGCGUAGGAUUAGCUUGUUGGUGGGGUAAUGGCCCACCAAGGCGACGAUCCUUAGCUGGUCUGAGAGGAUGAUCAGCCACACUGGGACUGAGACACGGCCCAGACUCCUACGGGAGGCAGCAGUGGGGAAUAUUGGACAAUGGGCGAAAGCCUGAUCCAGCAAUGCCGCGUGAGUGAUGAAGGCCUUAGGGUUGUAAAGCUCUUUUACCAGUGAUGAUAAUGACAGUACCUGGAGAAUAAGCUCCGGCUAACUCCGU
rnacentral:rRNA from 1 species